AGAGUUUGAUCCUGGCUCAGAAUGAACGUUGGCGGCGUGGAUUAGGCAUGCAAGUCGAGCGAGAAGCCUCCCUUCGGGGGGGCGGACAGCGGCGAAAGGGAGAGUAAUGCGUGGAUACCUACCCCGGGAUCUGGGAUAGCUGCGGGAAACUGCAGGUAAUACCGGAUAAUGUCUUCGGACCAAAGGUGUGAUUCCGUCUUGGGAUGGGUCCACGUCCUACUAGCUUGUUGGUGGGGUAACGGCCUACCAAGGCUUCGAUGGGUACCGGGUGUGAGAGCGUGGCCCGGCUCACUGGGACUGAGACACUGCCCAGACACCUACGGGUGGCUGCAGUCCGAGAAUCUUCGGCAAUGGACGCAAGUCUGACCGAGCGACGCCGCGUGCGGGAUGAAAGGCCUUCGGGUUGUAAACCGCUGUCAGAGGGGAUGAAAUGCAUGGGGGCUAUCCUUCAUGUUUGACCUAUCCUCCGAGGAAGGACGGGCUAAGUU
rnacentral:rRNA from 1 species